rnacentral:rRNA from 1 species
UACGUAGGGUGCAAGCGUUGUCCGGAAUUAUUGGGCGUAAAGAGCUCGUAGGCGGUCUGUCGCGUCUGCUGUGAAAACUCAGGGCUUAACCCUGAGCUUGCAGUGGGUACGGGCAGACUAGAGUGCGGUAGGGGAGACUGGAAUUCCUGGUGUAGCGGUGAAAUGCGCAGAUAUCAGGAGGAACACCGAUGGCGAAGGCAGGUCUCUGGGCCGCAACUGACGCU